CAAAUAGACUACCCCGGUAGUCCACGCCGUAAACGAUGGAUACUAGCUGUUUGAGCGCAAGGUUUGAGUGGCUAAGCGAAAGUGAUAAGUAUCCCACCUGGGGAGUACGGGCGCAAGCCUGAAACUCAAAGGAAUUGACGGGGGGCCCGCACAAGCGGUGGAGCAUGUGGUUUAAUUCGAUGAUACGCGAGGAACCUUACCAGGGCUUAAAUGUAGAUUGACGUAUUUGGAAACAGAUAUUUCUUCGGACAAUUUACAAGGUGCUGCAUGGUUGUCGUCAGCUCGUGCCGUGAGGUGUCAGGUUAAGUCCUAUAACGAGCGCAACCCCUGUUGUUAGUUGCCAGCGAGUAAUGUCGGGAACUCUAGCAAGACUGCCAGUGUAAACUGUGAGGAAGGUGGGGAUGACGUCAAAUCAUCACGGCCCUUACGUCCUGGGCCACACACGUGCUACAAUGGCCGGUACAGAGAGCAGCCACUUAGCGAUAAGGAGCGAAUCUAUAAAGCCGGUCACAGUUCGGAUCGGAGUCUGCAACG
rnacentral:rRNA from 1 species